rnacentral:sRNA from 1 species
UAGAAAUAAACGUGAACGUGCAUGAAAAUAAAUUCAAACGUGGGAGAGGAAGCAGUUUUGUGGAAGGAGAUGUAAAUAAAGCACAAAAUAAAAAAACCUAAAAGAACAAAUUGAAAUUGUUUUGCUGGAGCCCGGAGGAGAAGAUGAAAUUGGCGAAAAACCAACAAGAAUCGGUGUUGUGUGGAAGGAGGAUGAGCAUAAGUUGUUCUUGGUGGAUUAACUUCAUACUUAAUCAUUUGAUCAUAUGAAAACAUGGUAUCUUCACAAGUCAUAACAUGACCAGAAGGAUAAAGAUUUGAAUGGAAGUAAAGGCAUAGAUAAAUAUUGGAACGUGGAGAAGGAUAAGGAUAAGAAGAGUCGGUUCACUUUUCUCCCAGGACGCUUCACUCUUUCCUCCCAUGUACCUCUCUCUUCAUCAUUUUCAGAAUGUAAAACCGUUUCUGCGACUCUAGAAAUCAAGAGGAGGAAGAAGACAACAUGCACUUUAGGGGGGAAAAACCGUCGCUACUCCAGAGAAAGAUUAAUCCGAUAACGAUUCCAUGCAUUAGAGAGUUGCUUGGGUCGUUUCAGUUACACAUGGCCAGAAAAAGAAAGCAAAUGAGGAAGAGAUGGACUUCCCUUUCAGAAAAUAUUUGAAUUGGUGGGUACAUUUAAAUAAUUUUGCAAGCCGCAUGCCACAAUGGAUAAGAUGCGAUCAGUUAUCCACCCAACUACUUUUGAGAAGAAUGUUUCAGCCAAGAGAAGAGUUUCCAUCUUCUUCGACAACACAACCAAUGCAGACGUGAGUCGUAAGAUGCCGUACGAAGACAUGAUUUUUCUCCUUACUCUAUGUAUUCCUUUGUUUGUUAAGUAAACAUACAAACAUCACAGCCAAAAACAUUCUUAAUCUUCAAUUAAUAUCACAAUCCCCAUUUUGCCCAAAGCACUUAUGGCUUAGGUAAUUAUUUUUGUCCUCUAUUCAAUAUCUGUUCUUACAUGAUUAUUAUAAUUUUGUGUAUUUUGGGUUGUGAAUGUUC